rnacentral:misc_RNA from 1 species
AACCUAGCACACCUGCGGUGUGUACCUGCGGAAGGAUCAUUACACAAUACAAUAUGAAGGCUGUCCGCAGCUGGAGUAUUUUAUUACCCUUGUCUUUUGCGCACUUGUUGUUUCCUGGGCGGGUUCGCUCGCCACCAGGACCACCAAAUAAACCUUUUUUAUGCAGUUGCAAUCAGCGUCAGUACAAACAAUGUAAAUCAUUUACAACUUUCAGCAACGGAUCUCAGAUCGGAAGAGCAC